rnacentral:lncRNA from 1 species
GCCCUUUCUUCUGCGCCAUCUUGUGGCAGUUGAGAGCAGGCCCAGGGCAGAAGGGAGGCAGGGGCAUUAAGAGCUCAGGCCUCCAGCUGAGGGACUGCAGAUGUUGGGUAAGCUGACCCUGGAAUUAACAGGCUCACACCUUGGAGGGGGCAGUCCCAUAGCAGGCUCCCACCCUGCCCUUCAGAGUUGCAGCAGGUAAUGCUGAUGCCAGAACCUUGUCCUGACAGGAAGCCUCUGAUUAGGGCCCUGAACCAAGUUCCUUUUCGCAUCUGCAGACUCAUGGAGGCAACCACUCAAGGUCACUCUGAGAAGGGUUGAACGUGCUUUAUUAAAAGGACUGAGGAUCAUGUGUGUUGGUGUGUCCCGGAGUCUGCUCUAAGGCCCUGUGGCUGCCUGGUGCCCUGGGAAUGGUCCGGUCAUGGGCCUCAGCCCAGGAUGAGCAGCCAACAAUGCAAUCCCACGAAGAGUGUGCGGAAGGGAGAGGUUACUUCUCAAGAUGGAGCUGCCAAAUAGGGACACUUUGGAGAGUCUGGCCUGAGAACUUUUAGUUUCAAGAAUGUAUUGCUUUGGAAAAGACAGAAUAAAAGUCCAAGCACUGCCACUUA